rnacentral:rRNA from 1 species
UAAUACGGAGGGGGCUAGCGUUGUUCGGAAUUACUGGGCGUAAAGGGCGCGUAGGCGGCGCGAUAAGUUGGGCGUGAAAGGCCCGGGCUCAACCCGGGGACUGCGCUUGAUACUGUCGCGCUGUGAGUCCGGGAGAGGAUGGCGGAAUUCCCAGUGUAGAGGUGAAAUUCGUAGAUAUUGGGAAGAACACCGGUGGCGAAGGCGGCCAUCUGGACCGGCACUGACGCUGAGGCGCGAAAGCGUGGGGAGCAAACAGGAUUAGAUACCCUGGUAGUCCACGCCGUAAACGAUGCGUGCUAGACGUUGGGGGGCUUGCCCUUCGGUGUCGUCGCUAACGCAUGAAGCACGCCGCCUGGGGAGUACGGUCGCAAGAUUA